rnacentral:lncRNA from 1 species
GUGUUCCCAGUCUUAGGGGCAGGCGGGGGACUGAAGCUAGGCCACGCGCUGGCCGGCUCAGAAAUCACUAUGAACUGUUCCCUUGUGGAAGUACAUUUCUGUGAUUGCAUCCAGUUUAGGCCUUUAGGUACCGAACUUAUGCAUCAUCAGCAUUUAAUUUCGUAGGUAUGACCUAAUUUAAGCGUUUUUUAUCAAGUAAAAAAGUAUCACUUCUGGUGCUUCUGGAUUAUGUUUUCGCAACCUUGGUCUUGGUCUUGCUGACUAAGAUAACUAGAUCUAUUCAUGUUGUGUACUUGGACUUGGAUGUGCAUGUGGAUUGUGCCUUUUAUGUUGGAUUUUUUUGUAUCAGGUAGACAUAGCUGUAGCCUUGCUUGCAAUUGCAAUUGGAUAACAUUGUCCUGAUUUUGCACAUUCACAGCUUGGAGGGCCUUAUGAUGUCCUUGUUUGAUGCAUAGCACUUUUCUUCUGGCAUCGUUGGACUUAACCUUGUCCAGUUAGGUAUACUAUCAUUUAUAUUCAACCUGUUACACUCUUGAGGUCAUAUCUGAGCAUUUCUGAAAAUGUUCAAGCAUAUAUAUUGUUUUGUUGGGCUGAGCCUUUAAUUGGCCAGGGAACAAUAUUGCAUCUUUUGGGAUGUACUUAUAGGACCAAGCCAGGGUAUUGUCUCUUCAAAAUAAGAGGUAGGCUGACUAUAUCAAAGAAACUGUUAUCACUUAUACAGAUGUUGUCGACCUUGUUUUUGUGUUAAUCGUAAUUUCUGCUUUCUGUAUGCUUCUCCAUGCUUCUAUGCUGACAUUUUAUUGCUUCUUCACACCAAUGACAAUGUUCUGUCACACUGUUGCUUUUAUCUCAGAUAUUAGUGUAUCUCUUUGCGUUUAGCUGACAUUUAAGGAUAAUUAUUUUGGUCACAUUUGUUUUGUCUCUACUGAUUUGUAAUGUCAACAUGAGAAUGGGUUUAAGAUAGUAUCAUUGCCCAUUUGCUUCAAUGUUCAGUUUGUAGUAUCUGAAUACAUUUCAGGAAUAAUAUGACGACGUGUUUGGUUCUGCACUUUUUCGCUGUCUUCCGGUUACACCGGCUCAUGAGUACGUUACAUUGUUUUGUUUGGGUUGGGCGGGAUUGAGUUCCAAUAUAUAGUAAACGGUCCUUCACAAAAUCCAAAAUGGUAUGUAUCGGUAGCUACGUAUUGAAUAAUAAGUUAACAAUGCUAGACUUGACCCACUUCCUUUACUCAACUGAGGACUGUAGCUAUUACAUAGGCGAUCUCUUGUUAAUAGAAAUCACUCACUUUUUUGUUUUCAUAUAUUUAUUCCCGUAGCUACUAUACAUCACAACAUGCAAGGAAAUAUAUGUCUGCUGAAAUUUAAUUUAAUUUGUUCUUUGCUCUUUACAGAAAUCUUGGAUUCAUAAAUGGGAGAAGCACAUAAGGGAGAAGAAGAUGAUUGCAAGGAUGGAGAGGGAGCAAAUCAUUUCGAGGGAU